rnacentral:rRNA from 1 species
CCUAACACAUGCAAGUCGAACGGUAACAGGAAGCAGCUUGCUGCUUUGCUGACGAGUGGCGGACGGGUGAGUAAUGUCUGGGAAACUGCCUGAUGGAGGGGGAUAACUACUGGAAACGGUAGCUAAUACCGCAUAACGUCGCAAGACCAAAGAGGGGGACCUUAGGGCCUCUUGCCAUCGGAUGUGCCCAGAUGGGAUUAGCUAGUAGGUGGGGUAACGGCUCACCUAGGCGACGAUCCCUAGCUGGUCUGAGAGGAUGACCAGCCACACUGGAACUGAGACACGGUCCAGACUCCUACGGGAGGCAGCAGUGGGGAAUAUUGCACAAUGGGCGCAAGCCUGAUGCAGCCAUGCCGCGUGUAUGAAGAAGGCCUUCGGGUUGUAAAGUACUUUCAGCGGGGAGGAAGGGAGUAAAGUUAAUACCUUUGCUCAUUGACGUUACCCGCAGAAGAAGCACCGGCUAACUCCGUGCCAGCAGCCGCGGUAAUACGGAGGGUGCAAGCGUUAAUCGGAAUUACUGGGCGUAAAGCGCACGCAGGCGGUUUGUUAAGUCAGA